rnacentral:tRNA from 1 species
GUCCCCGUAGUCCAAUCGGUAGAGACACCCGGCUUAAACCCGGCACAGUGUGGGUUCAAAUCCCACCGGGGACACCC